AGAGUUUGAUCCUGGCUCAGAUUGAACGCUGGCGGCAUGCUUUACACAUGCAAGUCGAACGGCAGCGCGGGGAGCUUGCUCCCUGGCGGCGAGUGGCGCACGGGUGAGUAAUACAUCGGAACGUGUCUUCUAGUGGGGGAUAACUGCCCGAAAGGGCAGCUAAUACCGCAUGAGACCUGAGGGUGAAAGCGGGGGAUCGCAAGACCUCGCGCUGGAAGAGCGGCCGAUGUCCGAUUAGCUAGUUGGUGAGGUAACGGCUCACCAAGGCAACGAUACAUAGGGGGACUGAGAGGUUAACCCCCCACACUGGUACUGAGACACGGACCAGACUCCUACGGGAGGCAGCAGUGAGGAAUAUUGGUCAAUGGACGCAAGUCUGAACCAGCCAUGCCGCGUGCAGGAAGACGGCUCUAUGAGUUGUAAACUGCUUUUGUACGAGGGUAAACUCACCUACGUGUAGGUGACUGAAAGUAUCGUACGAAUAAGGAUCGGCUAACUCCGUGCCAGCAGCCGCGGUAAUACGGAGGAUUCAAGCGUUAUCCGGAUUUAUUGGGUUUAAAGGGUGCGUAGGCGGUUUGAUAAGUUAGAGGUGAAAUCCCGGGGCUUAACUCCGGAACUGCCUCUAAUACUGUUAGACUAGAGAGUAGUUGCGGUAGGCGGAAUGUAUGGUGUAGCGGUGAAAUGCUUAGAGAUCAUACAGAACACCGAUUGCGAAGGCAGCUUACCAAACUAUAUCUGACGUUGAGGCACGAAAGCGUGGGGAGCAAACAGGAUUAGAUACCCUGGUAGUCCACGCAGUAAACGAUGAUAACUCGUUGUCGGCGAUACACAGUCGGUGACUAAGCGAAAGCGAUAAGUUAUCCACCUGGGGAGUACGUUCGCAAGAAUGAAACUCAAAGGAAUUGACGGGGGCCCGCACAAGCGGAGGAACAUGUG
rnacentral:rRNA from 1 species